rnacentral:rRNA from 1 species
CAGCAGUGGGGAAUAUUGCACAAUGGGGGAAACCCUGAUGCAGCCAUGCCGCGUGUGUGAAGAAGGCCUUCGGGUUGUAAAGCACUUUCAGUAGGGAGGAAGGUAGUGUAGUUAACACCUGCAUUAUUUGACGUUACCUACAGAAGAAGCACCGGCUAACUCCGUGCCAGCAGCCGCGGUAAUACGGAGGGUGCGAGCGUUAAUCGGAAUUACUGGGCGUAAAGCGCAUGCAGGCGGCCUGUUAAGUCAGAUGUGAAAGCCCGGGGCUUAACCUCGGAAUUGCAUUUGAAACUAGGCAGGCUAGAGUCUUGUAGAGGGGGGUAGGAAUUUCAGGUGUAGCGGUGAAAUGCGUAGAGAUCUGAAGGAAUACCAGUGGCGAAGGCGGCCCCCUGGACAAAGACUGACGCUCAGAUGCGAAAGCGUGGGGAGCAAACAGGAUUAGAUACCCUGGUAG